rnacentral:tRNA from 1 species
UCCCUGGAGGACUAGUGGUUAGGCCCCUGCGCUCUCACCACCACAGUCUGGGUUCAAUUCCCAGCCAGGGAA